rnacentral:rRNA from 1 species
CCACCGCGGUUACACGAGUAACACAAAUUAAUAUUUAACGGCAUUAAGGGUGAUUAGAAAAAUCUCAUUUUUAAAUAAAGUUAAGGCCUCAUCAAGCUGUCAUACGCUCCCAUGCUUAAAAACACCAUUCACGAAAGUAACUUUAACACAACAGAAUUUUUGACCUCACGACAGUUAAGACCCAAACUAGGAUUAGAUACCCUACUAUGCUUAACUAUAAACAUUGCUAUUAAUAAAUAUACCUUAAUAUCCGCCUGAGUACUACAAGCGCUAGCUUAAAACCCAAAGGACUUGGCGGUGCUCCACACCCACCUAGAGGAGCCUGUUAUGUAACCGAUAACCCGCGUUUAACCUCACCACUUCUUGCUUUUCCCGCCUAUAUACCGCCGUCGUCAGCUCACCCUAUGAAAGUAUAACAGUAAGCAAAAUGGCCCUUCCCCAAUACGUCAGGUCGAGGUGUAGCGAAUGAAGUGGAAAGAAAUGGGCUACAUUCUCUUUCCAGAGAACACGAACAGAAACAUGAAAACUUUCUUAAAGGUGGAUUUAGCAGUAAGUAAACUUUAGAACAUUAUACUGAACCCGGCUCUGGAGCGCGCACACACCGCCCGUCACUCUCCUCGAAACACCAACACUAUCUUUUAUAAAAAAAAAUUACAACAAGAGGAGGCAAGUCGUAACAUGGUAAGUG